rnacentral:misc_RNA from 1 species
UAAAGUAUCAAUAUUAUAAUUUGAGGCCGAUAAACAGCAAUCCUGACAUUAUCCGGGACAAAAUUAUCCUAUUCAUCUCAUUUAAGCACAUUCUCCCCUACUUAUCAGUGGAGGCUAAAGUUACAGGUAAAUUGCACCGAGGAAAAAAUUCAUCAUCUGUAUGUCUCUGGCAAGCGGUAACCAGUCAUCACAAGUUUGUUCGCAGACAUUUUCCCUGUCUUUGGCAUAACGUGCCAAUGCAAUGUUAGGUUAAAAGCUUUACCACGGAGGUUGCUUCCCUGAUCAACAAACCGAUACUUGUUUGUGGUGUGAAUCAAAAAUUUUGCAUGUUCCUUGGUGGGAAUAAUACCAUCCCACAAAGAUAUCUGAUUCAAAGCGUUCUUUGGAGUUUCAUACUCAGCUGCCAAAAAUACGAACACCUGCUUCGUAUUCCACGUGAACAAUGACUGUAAAUCUGCCGAUAUGUUCAAGGUCAAACUGACCUCAUCGUCCCCAUCAGGUUUCUUCUGGAACCAAUUGAUAUUCAACACUUGAACUUCAGUUGUUGGAAUCGGAGUAUUGAAAUUGUCGGAGAAAGAAGCUAUUCCACACAUAAACGCAAGGAUGGUGACUGCCAAUGUUAACAAAGCAUUAGCUCUAUACCCAAAUGAAUGCAUCUUUGCUCCCGAUUUUCUUCAAUUUUUGGUCUUCUCAGAAUAUGGAAAAUGGGGCUUUUAACGCUUAAGAGUUCAGACUUUAG